GGGUUACUGGCGCAAUAGUAGCAUACUUGUCUUCUAAUCAAGUGGUGUGUUGUGACUCAUACCCAGGUGGUGUAACGUGCUCAAAUACUGAUCUGACCUUGGUAGGAUGUCGGUUCGAGUCCGACGUGACCCU